rnacentral:lncRNA from 1 species
AAUGAAUUCUGAAAAAGUUAAAUGAAUUCUGAAAAAGAACUGAAGAAAUCGGUUAAUUAAUUGGUUCGAUAGUUUGAAAAGGAGUGGCGACCACUCUGGAUUCUUCUCAAUUCCCUAUACAUGGAUCUCUUGAUGCUGUUUUCCACUCCCAGUAGCUGCCGCACACCAAGGCCCGGCCACACCGGGGGUCCUGGACAAAGCACCUCUCGGUGACAGCUGCAGAGGGACAGUCACUGUCCUCACCAACGCUUCGCCAGGGGAGUGUUAGGUUGGAUGUUAGGAAGAACUUCUUUACCAAAAGGGUUGUUAGACAUUGGAACGGGCUGCCCAGGGAAGUGGUGGAGUCACCAUCCCUGGAGGUCUUUAAAAGACAUUUAGAUGUAGAGCUUAGGGAUAUGGUUUAGUGGGGACUGUUAGCGUUAGGUCAGAGGCUGGACUCGAUGAUCUUGAGGUCUCUUCCAACCUAGAAAUUCUGUGAUUCUGUGAUUCUGAAAAAUUUUUUAUUCUUCGACAUUUUUACUCAGAAGCCACUGAGGCACGACGACCCCACGGCCAGGAGCUUCCCGCGGCCCCUGACGGCCGGAGCGGCCCCGGGCUUUGAGGCCAAAUCCCCCAGAAACGGCCAAAGCCUGCCUCCCCCGGCCGAGGGGGCGGCAUCCCGGGAGCCCUCCCCGUGCCGGGGCGGCUCCCUGCGGGGCCAGGCCGGGCACAGCCCCCGCCUCGCCCAGCGCCGGGGCCGGCUGCUCCGCCGCCCUGCGGCCCCCAGGCGGCGGCGGCUGCUGCUGGGGGACGCCGAGGAGGAGCCGCCUGCGCGGCCCAGCGGCGGGCGGGCCGGACACGCCGGGCGAGGCUGAGGGAGGCGAGGCGAGGGGAGCACCGCGGGCCGCGGCGGUGACGGGGGAGCGGCGGCCAUGGCCACCAAGCUGGGAAGUGAAAUAUCCCUCUGCGCCGAGUGCUCCAAACUACCCAAACUUUGUGCUGUGCAAGUCUGCCUUCUGUGUUGUCGUAACUUUGACAGCAGUAAGUCUCUCCUAGGAAACUGUAUUUUGGGAAAAUGUUGAGUUAAUCAGUCUUAAUGCUAUCUGUGAGUUGGAAAGAAUUUAAACUGUGCAGAUCACUUCAUACCCUAGCCAGCAUGUUCCACUGCUCAAAUUCAGCAAAGUAAGACUUGAUCAACCACAACUUCAUUCUGUGCAUUUACAAGUGUGGGCUGUGAUGGAACAAAACUGAUUAGGUUAAAUAGUCAUUUCAGUUUAAUGGUCUUACUCACAUUAGAAGUUGUGGGUUUUGUUGUUUUUUUCUGCUAAGCUAUAAUUAAAUAGGUAUAAAAAUAUUUCAUUUAUUUUUUUUAGGGGCAAUGAGAGUACAAGAGUGGGUGAAAAUGCUUGGUAAUGCAAAUUUACUUUAAAUAUCUGACCUGUUGAUAUAGUGAGGUGUUAGUAUGAGGUCAACCACACAAGAACUGACACUGAGACAUUUCAUUAAGAUGCAGUUUUUCUGUUCUUUUGCCUUUGGCUUUCUGAUCUUUUAAAAGUUCAGUGAUAAGUGGGUUACUUUACAUCCCAGCAAUUAUUAGUGCAAGGCUUCUUGUUUGACAGCCGGCUGUUGGGCUAGGAAGCGGGCGAGUUGAUGGGGCUCUGUAUGAUGCUAUGCUUGGGUAAUGAUUCCUCUGACUCAAUUUUUCAAAGUUAUUUUAAGCACCUGGGCAUUGAGUCAUCAGAGGCUCAUUACCAGAGGUCGUCACUUUAAAGUAUGAUUACAGUAGUGAAGGAGGAGGAAAUCUGGUAUCAGAUGCUAUCGUGUUUCAUGGUUCAUCUGGUUUAUAUGCUCAGUGAUUCAGAUUUUCAUGCUGGUUGAAUUUUUCCAUGUAUCAGUAAUGUUUGAGCAGUAAGUCCUUAAAGUUAACUGGGGCUUGGUGAUAAAGUUUCUUUGACUCCAUUGUUUCAACGUUUUUCUUUGGGAGUUGUCAUCUCUUUCAGAACCUUUGUUUUUAAAGUCUUUGAAAAUCUGCUUAAAUUAGAACAUCCGCACAUUCUUCUGUCUAUGAAAACUUCCUUAUUUGAUUAGGGUAUCUGGCAAAUUUCAAAAAUCGAAGUUUACAGAGAGGCAAAGGGAACGUAUAUGGGAAUUUUGCUGUUUUAAGGAUAUCACUUCCCUCCUAUAUUGUAUUUACCCUCAAUUGCAACAUUGCUGUUGGAAGCAGGCUUGCGAAAGAUUGCAAAAGCAGGUAGCAGAGCCUGUAAAAUAGUGGGAGUGAUUUGUUUCAGCCAGCACUGCAGUAAGACAGAUUAAAUAAUCCCGGAUAUCUAAACGUUAAAGUGAAUAAUCAUUGCAGUGUUCUGCAUUUAAAGCUGCAACUUUUCUAUGUCAAAGCACGUUUUGCAAUUAGAAGGUCAUUUAACUCCUCUUUCAACUUUUCUGAAAGGGGUAAAAAUCAAAGCUUGUGCUUUUACCUUCUUUAGAUGUAUUCCAGAUUUCUCAGCAAUUUGUGAUGAAAAAGGAGCUUCCCAAGUAACAGAGUUCAAAAAGCAAGGCGUUCUUGUAAUAAUUCAACAAGCAAAGCUCAAGUGCUCCUGAGGAGAAAGAUCUCAGCAUCCUGCUCACUGGAAAAUUGAAUCAGAGCUCUGAGCCUUAUUUUUUCCAAAACAGUAAGAGGAAAAGGGCACGAGACACAAAUUUUCUUCUAGGGAGUUGCCUUCGUGCAGGCUGCUCCAGCUGUUCGGUGGCCACGAGGGGACCUUCAGGACUUUGCGUGGCGUGAAGGUCACACGAGCAGUCCUGAGCACUGCUCGUAAGAGGGUGUGUGCUCCUCGCAGGUCAGAGCAGUGCCUCUGUGUGAGCAGAGGUUUUGUUUUGCUAAGUUGGUUAGUGAAACUUGUAUUUUCCUCCUGUAUUUCAGAGCAGCUCUUCAGAAGGAGGCAAAGGGCAGAGCUACCCCUGCCAAUAAAAGCAGCUGCUUUACCA